rnacentral:misc_RNA from 1 species
AACUGCACUAACAGAGGCAUGGCAUCCCUGAGUCACCACGCUCCCCAGCGGCCAUGUUUCAAUUACGUCUCGCCGCAACACCACGUACUGCACCACCACGUCCUCCGACUUUUCGCCUUUCAAAUCAGCGGCAUCAUUCUGAGAAUUGGCCGCCUCCUCCGCCGCAUCAGAUGUGAGAUGAUUCAUUGAGUUCGAGCAAAGUCGAGUCAGUGACCAAUUCGGGAAACGUUGGGAAAGAGAGGCAAGAUUGCCGCCA